UGGGCUUAUGUUGGUACUCGGUGGUUUGCCCCGUCUAUCUACUUAAAACUUGACUAAGGUCGAAAAGUGAUGGUGUUCGUGUCAAGUGUUUGAAAGUACUAAUCUCACACCUAGUAUGGGAUGGGGAAGCCUAGUACCUGAUUGAACCGGGAUGUGAGCGGAUCAUUCCACUGUCUCUAGAAACUGAGUUUCCCCCUAGUGCAUCAUGUGGUGACAAGUGCG
rnacentral:lncRNA from 1 species